rnacentral:lncRNA from 1 species
CAAGGACUCACGGGAAGAUAUCACAACACAACUCUAGACACAAAUUAAAAUAAUACAAGCUUUAUAUUACAAGUCAGGGGCCUCAAGGGCUCUAAUACAUCAGCUCGAAUACAAACGAGUCAGCGGAAGUAACAAUAUCUGAGUACAGACAUGAGUUAAACAAGUCUGCCUUAAGAAGGCUAGCACAAAAAGCAACAUCGAUCGAAAAGGCAAGGCCUCCUACCUGGGAGCCUCCUAUCUACUCCUGGUCGUCGGCGGUCUCCAUGUAGUAGUAGGCAUCGGCAGUGGCAUCUGGCUCCUGGGCUCCAACAUCUGGUUGCAUCAACCGGAAAGAAGGAGAAAGGGAAAAAGGGGAAGCAAAGCAACCGUGAGUACUCAUCCAAAGUACUCGCAAGCAAGGAUCUACACUACAUCUGCAACAUUAUCAAAGGAAGGUUGUAUAUGUGGACUGGGCUGCAAAAAUGCCAGAAUAGAGAGAAGGCCUAGUCCUAUCAAAGACUAGCAUCUUCUGGAAACCACCAUCUUGCAGCAAAUAGGAGGGAGUAGAGUAGCAUAAAGUAAAGUAGUAAUAGUGUUAUCAACCUCGGCCAGAGAUCCUUUCUCGACUCCCUGCGAUAAAGCAAUCCUAGAGACAUACUAUCCAUUUCUCAUCACAAUCCAAUUCUCAUCACAGUAUCCAGUUCUAAUUGUUUCGAUCGGGAUACAACUCCAUGUGUCCGUUACCGUAGGACAGGCUAUCGAUAGAUGUUUUCUUCCCUGUAGGGGUGCACCAACUUACCCACCACGCUCGAUUAACUCCGGCCGGACACACUUUCCUGGGUCAUGCCCGGCCUCGGCCAAACAAUACGCCGCAACCCGACCUAGACUUAACAGAGAGGUCACCACGCCGGACUAAACCUAUGCCCCCAGGGGUCAUGGGCCAUCUCCCCGGAAACUCCUGCACGUUGCGUAUGCGGCCGGUGAGCAGACCUAGCUACCUCCUUCAACAAGGCAGGUGCUUACGCAGUCCAACCCGGCGUGCGCCACUUAGUCGCUGACGUCUAUUAAGCUUCGGCUGAUGUAUAUGAUGCAGAACGCCCAUACUAUGCCCACGUGAUGGUUAGUGGACAGAGGCCCCUCGGAUCAAAUAUCCAAAUCGUAGUGGAUUAGGAACGCGUGGUAACAAGCAGAGACUCACAAAAGAUGUGACCCCGAUGCCCCGUCUCGAGGACUUGCGGCAAGGGCUAAGAAUGCCCGGCCACGCCUUGUAAUUAUCUCGCGGGCACCUUCCAGGUCAACCCGACUCCACAUCACUCGCAAUUAUGCUCGCGCGGGUACCCCUCAGGGUCGACCCGUCUUUAGUAACAUGGUUCAGUGUAAAGUCAUAGUAAUCAUAGUAACUGUGUGUCUAAACAUCAAGGGGAAAACCCGAGGAAUCACCCCCGGUGAAUUCCACUCGAUGUAAUCAUCAAGGUGAACAUAAGAGGAAUCACCCCCGAGGUUCACACUUGAGGGGUUGCACGACAGAGUCGUAUCGGAAGUGGUUAAGGCGGAAUCACCCUCGAUAACCACGACCAAAUAGCUACACUACAGGGUUAACAUCAGAAGUGCUUUAGAGGUCUCACCCUCGGCACUCAAUAGUAACCUAGAAGUGUCGAGCAACUAAGGGGAAAGUGAUGUGCGGUGCCGGGGCCUGGUCUUCGAUCCCGUUGAUCAGGUCUUCGAUGAUGAAGCAGGGGCAACAAGGACAAGGUGGGGGUCACUGAUGGAUCACUAACCAACCUAUACUAAGAAGUUUAGGAUAAGCAGGUAAGGUAACGAUAAGCAGGUUAGAAAAGCAGGCUAUGCAUCAGAAUAGGAGCAAACAAUAACAAUAGCAAAAUCUAAUGCAAGCAUGAGAGAAUGAAAUGGGCGAUAUCGGGAUGAUCAAAAGGGGGGCUUGCCUGGUUGCUCUGGCUAGGAGGAGUCGUCGUCGACAUAGUCAAUCAUAGGGGCAGCAUCGGUCUCAGGGUCUAUCGGAGAGAAGAGGGAGAAGAAACAGUAAAUAGAGAGCAAGCAAGUGCAUAACAGGACAACAGGCAAAGCUAGACAUGUUCUAACACGGUGCUACAUGCUACCGGCAAAGGGGGAUAACAUCCGGGAAUGCGUUCCCGAAGUUUGGCACUUUCGGACAGAUGAACCGGAGGGGAAAGUUGCAUGUUUGCUAUGCUAGGGAUGUGUGGUGGACGAACGGGUUGUGUAUCCGGAUUCGUCUCAUCGUUCUGAGCAACUUUCAUGUAAAAAGUUUUUCCAUCGAAGUUACGGAUGAAUUCCUACGAAUUUCCGAAGAAUUAAACAGCUAUUUGGAAAUCCUGAAAAUUAGCCAAGUCUGAGAUUUGUUCAGUUUUUAAAGUUCACUUAGUUGAUUUCCAAAGUCUAUAACUAUGGUUCUUCCCAUCCUAUGGAUUAGUACCUUAUAUCAGUAUCGUCCAUUUCCAUGUGAUCUACAAGAUGAUAUCAAUUGCAUCACUGUUAGUGUUCAUUUUCUUAAACAAAACUUUGCUUGAAAAGUGUCACUUGUUGUUGAUUCCAGAAACUGUUAAAUAUACGAACAUAGGAUUUUGUGAUUUUCACAGAAUUUAAUCCAUGCCUUAUUUGAAUUUAGUCCAAUGGGAUGUUUUGAACCUUUUCAAGUGCACUACCCGCACAUAUUUAUUUUAGCUAUGUUAAGCUUUUUUUAGUUGAAGUUUUGAGGCCGUCAAGAGGGCUAGUCAGUGUAAUAGUUGCAAAGCUGGCUACUGCUACAGUAACUGAAUGUUACUGUAGCAGGGGAGCAGCAGCCGAGUGCAGCGGGCAGAGCAACAGCAAGGAGUAGCAGCGACGGCGCGGCGAGGUCGGCCGAAGGCGGGCGAGGCCGCAGGUGGGCGCGGCCACAAACUCAAAGCACACACACACUGCACGCACACAUCGUGCACACACACUGCACGCACGCACCACACGCACACACACGCACGGUCGCUCGGCCAUGGCCACGUCCAUGGCCAGCAGUAGCAGGCUAGCAGCAGCCGACCGCAAUGGCUAGCGGCAGCACGCGCCCACGGGUGCGCCCUGGUUAGAGGUGGAGCGGGGGUAUGGCCAGGCGCGUUCAGCGCGCACCGGGGUGUGGCUGGUCGAGCAACGGGAGAGGAAGGCUGGGGGCGAGGCCACGGCAAAGAAGGCGCGGGGAGCCCGCGGCCGGGCGCAGGAGUUGAGCUCCGGUCGCUAACGUGGCGGACCGCGGCGACCAGUGGCAGAAAGAGCAACGGCAGCAGCAUCACGGCAACAACAGAAGGUAGGGGAGGAGCGACGCGGGGGAGGAGCAGCGAAGUGCAGCAAGCAACACGAGAGCAGGCAAGCAGAGCAACGCAGCAGUGCGGGUGAGCGCGGGGCGUAGACUGGGCACAGUGACCAUGUGAUGACCGCGGCCACGGUCAGAAGCACAGACGGCGCGGACGGCGACCUACGACGGUGAAUUGAGGAGGAGGAGAGGACGGACUGGAGCUCACCGAGCGGCCACGGAAGGCCCUUGACGGCUUAGGAGCAGCAGGGGUGCUCGAGGUAUCCGGCGAGCGUCGGAGUCAGAGGCAAAAUGAGACGACGGUGAUCGGCGGCUGCAUGGGCCCUCUGCUCCAACGUAGGACCCCGGGCGACGUGGAUGAGGAUGGCGGAACGGACGGACAGGGUCGGUGGCCUCGGGGCCGCCGGUGGCCGCGGAAUCGACGGAAGUACGGCGGCGAUGGCGUCGGUCUCCUCUCCAGAACGGAGGAGAUGGAGAGGGGAGAGGUGGAUCUGGGG